rnacentral:rRNA from 1 species
UACGUAGGCAGCAAGCGUUGUUCGGAGUUACUGGGCGUAAAGGGUGCGUAGGUGGCUCUAUAAGUAUGGUGUGAAAUCUCCCGGCUUAACUGGGAGGGUGCGCCGUAGACCGUGGGGCUAGAGUGUGGGAGAGGAAAGUGGAAUUCCUGGUGUAGCGGUGAAAUGCGUAGAUAUCAGGAGGAACACCGGUGGUGUAAACGGCUUUCUGGACCAUAACUGACACUGAGGCACGAAAGCGUGGGUAGCAAACAGG